UGAGGAAUUUUCCGCAAUGGGCGAAAGCCUGACGGAGCAAUGCCGCGUGGAGGUAGGAGGCCCCCGGGUCGUGAACUUCUUUUCUCGGAGAAGAAGCAAUGUGAUGAGGAAGCAAUGACGGUAUCUGAGGAAUAAGCAUCGGCUAACUCUGUG
rnacentral:rRNA from 1 species